rnacentral:tRNA from 3 species
UGCCUUAUAGUAUAAUGGUAGUACGACAGAUUCUGGAUCUGUUUGUCUUGGUUCGAAUCCAGGUAAGGCAACCA